UCCCAUCCUCCUGCCCCCAUCCCCUGCCAUGGCUUCUCUAAAAGGAAAAAAUCUCCGGCAUUGGCGACGCCGGCGGCGCUAGGUGACCAGAGCCAGCCACCGACGCUUCUCCCUGUUCACGCCCUUCGUCCCACGCGUUCAAGAACAUAAAUAUGGCUUGGCGUAACUGCAAAUUGGGCAGCUUUUCCAGUGUAUGGGUGAAAGGUCGAGCCUUUACUGAGGUCCAUAACACUGUAUCUUCCAUCAGGACAGUCAAUCAGCGCUAUCAUGGAUGUUUUCGUCCUUUGCAUACACAUGCUGAAGUACUUUUUGUUGGCAGAUGGAAAGGAUCCAUGAACCAUGAUGCCAGAAUUAUCUUACGGACGAUUCUUAACCUCUCUUUUCCUGUUACUAUAUGUUAGAGAUGUUUAAAAUCCCUGCUUUUGAAGUAGAUGCAGCACCUAAGAAAGGUGAAGGCGUGAUGACCUUGGACCCCACUCAAACAGGGACCAUCCAUAGUCUACAUGUAAUAGCAUGUUUGGGCUGCCCUGCAAUAUCUGAAUGCUUCUGGUACGUUUGGUAUUCAAUCAAGUAGACUGUGUCAUCACUGUUUAAGCCAGGACAUCCUAUACCGUUAUUUUUCCAUGACGAGUCACUAAUCCUUAGUGGUAAGUACAUAGUUGCGUGCUUGAUUAAAAGAUAUUUUUUCACCUUUGCGACUAUUGCAUGAUUGUGAUCCCUUCUUUUGCUGUAUAUGAUUGCACUUUAGCUUUUCCCCUAUCACAUUCGGUCAUUUGUUGUUUAGGAGUCUAAAUCAAUAUAAAUCCAUGUCCACACAUUAUGCCACAUGCUGAAACAGUAAAGGAAAUCUAUUGCACAGGGAUGGGGUAGAGCAACAGGUGCCUGGUGGCCAGAGAAUGAGCAAAGGAAAACAACACCCUGCCUUCUUAGAUAUCUAGGCUGGCAUGCAAAUGCUGAUGAUAUCCUUUCGACCGAAGGGGCCUACUCCUUUGGGAUUCUUAAGAUUCAAGUAUCCUUAACUGGUCACCCCAAUUAUAUGAAACGAAGAAAAGGAGUAGGAAAGAACACACAACACACACCCGUAGAACGAGGUAGGGCAGAAAGGUAGGACUCUCAUCUAAGGUUUGCCUUAAUGGCCCAAGAAUUGCCCACCACUGCUAAUGUGAGGUGGAAUUUGCUGGACCAUCAAUUGAGCCAGCCCAAUUAGGUCUCCACAUGCAUGAGUGGGUGAUCAUGUGUCAAGUUUAUGCAGGUUAGCAUGCACUUUGUCCGUUGGAAACGAUGUAUCGUUAGGCGAAGGAGGGGAAGGAGGUUGUCUAUAAAUAUGCAGUGCGAUGGAUAGGGGUUGGUUUGUGCUGAAAGCAAGCUAGCUGGGAGCAUAGUGGAAGAAGAGAGAGGCCACCU